rnacentral:lncRNA from 1 species
CAUAAAAGCCACAAUUAAAGCAGAUACCAUUGAAUGUAUUUGCAAUGGUUUGUCUUUUACCAUGCUGUUCAUUACUUUCAUUAUUGGACUGAGAAAUAGUUGUUUGGUUGAAAAUGUUUACAACUCUGUUUAUGUUCCUAAGUAAAAGAAUUGUACCCUGAUUAGUCAGGUGUAUGCCAUCACGGUGGUAGUAAGAAGAAACGAGAUCGCCGCCUCUGGAGACAAAUGCAUCUGUUUGUUUGAUGAUUUUUAACUUAUGUUCAGUAGAAACCCUGUGUAAUAUUGCAUUAUAAAUUUCUGUAUCAACAUUCCGUCUUGGACAAAUCUCAGAUACAGCAAUGUUUAUGCCUGGGUUUAUCGAUUUGACAGUUUUUAUCAUAUCAUCAUAUUUUUCUUUGAAAGCUUCUGGAUGUAUCCUUGACGAGGCAUCAUUUCCACCAACAACUAAAAUAAUACUUUUGUAAUGUUGUAUAUUAGAUUUUUUAAUCUUUUCUGUUAAUGUUGGUACUGUUGCGCCUCUAUUUGUUCGUAUGUGAACAUCUUUUCCAACUUUGUUUGCAUCGAUGCCUUUAAUUAUGGAACUUCCUAUUAUUCAUGCAGUGCUAGCAUUGAUUUCCUAAAAACAAGUUUAUUAAUGUAGUUAUUGGUUAAAACAAAAAAAAAUAUGGACCAAAUCAAGUACACCUUUUAGGGUGCGCUCGACUUUAGUGACUCAGCACGAGGUAUUUUGGAAUUUACAGGUUGGUUAGAACAUUUUGUAGAAAAUGAACACUAGCAUAUCAUAGAAAAUCAAGUGAGUAAUCUCUGUUUCAAAUUUUAUAACGAAAAUCUCUGUAUUUAAGGCUGU